UACGUAGGGUCCGAGCGUUGUCCGGAAUUACUGGGCGUAAAGGGCUCGUAGGCGGCCAACUAAGUCGGAUGUGAAAUCCCCAAGCUUAACUUGGGAACUGCAUCCGAUACUGGAUGGCUUGAAUCCGGGAGAGGGAUGCAGAAUUCCAGGUGUAGCGGUGAAAUGCGUAGAUAUCUGGAGGAAUACCGGUGGCGAAGGCGGCAUCCUGGACCGGCAUUGACGCUGAGGAGCGAAAGCUAGGGGAGCAAACGGG
rnacentral:rRNA from 1 species